CAAAAGGGAAGAUCAUUGUCCGAAAAACACCUGUUCCAUUACUGACUGUUCCUAUUUAUGGAAGCAUAUUUAAUAGUUUUCAAUACGGCCGAAAAGUAUAGAGCUGCGAUCUGUAACCUGAGAUUUCUGUACAAGAAACAAAAUGAAGUAUUUGAUAUUCCUCCUUUUGCUCACUUUGAGUGCCACAGCUUUUGCGGGAGAAAUCCAGCGGGUCUUCCGGAUGUUUACAGAAGUUGGAUGUGCGAAGACUUAUAAUUCUAUGGACAUUAAUGAACCCAUGUUAUUGUGCGGCCAGUGUGUCAGAACGGUGCUUAGUGUAACUAAAGUUAAUGAUCCGGCAUGCGCAGGUAUACAAUGAUCAGCGGCUAUCUCCUGGGAUGUUUGAAGAAAGUUAGAAUGAAGAUAUGUAAUCGAAUAUAUAUUUUGCAAAAACAAAAUGUUGGCAGAUGAAAAAUUCAAAAAAAUUAAAUGUUUUAUAUAAACUGUGCAUAAACAUAUAAAUAAAUAAUUUUAUUUCUUUCUA